CUAUAAUAUUGACAUGUAAAUGUCCUGCCAUACCUUUCAAUUUGGGCAAAACAGCGCAGCGCAGAAGAACCGGCAGACGCCGAUGUCCGGCCCGCGCUUCAAGAACUGACAGACGGCAGAUGCUGAUGUCACGAUGUGCCACCGGGGCAGCGCAGUAAACCCGACGGACGCCGACGUCCAGUCCGCGCAGUGUAACGCAUAAGAACUGACAGACGUCGGUGUCCCGUCCGCUCAGAGCAGUGCAGAGGACCCGACAGUCGCCAGUGUCCCACUCCCGUCCACGCAUUGUAGCACAAAAGAGCGGCAAGGUGGCAUGACAACAACCAGUCACCGCGUCUAAAUCAAGCUUGGCAUGAAAAGCGCAUUUACGACUGCGUCUCGCCAGAUAUCCUUCUGCAAUCCGGCGCCAGUCCGGACAGAUGAGUAGUGCGUACAUCAUUGUCAUCGUUCGAUUACUGCGUUUUUACAUAAUAAAUUAUUUUUUCCGUCACGCUC